GAUCCUGGCUCAGGAUGAACGCUGGCGGCGUGCUUAACACAUGCAAGUCGAACGAUGAUCCCAGCUUGCUGGGGGAUUAGUGGCGAACGGGUGAGUAACACGUGAGUAACCUGCCCUUGACUCUGGGAUAAGCCUGGGAAACCGGGUCUAAUACUGGAUAUGACCUUCUGGCGCAUGCCAUGUUGGUGGAAAGCUUUAUUGCGGUUUUGGAUGGACUCGCGGCCUAUCAGCUUGUUGGUGGGGUAAUGGCCUACCAAGGCGACGACGGGUAGCCGGCCUGAGAGGGUGGACGGCCACACUGGGACUGAGACACGGCCC
rnacentral:rRNA from 1 species